rnacentral:rRNA from 1 species
CUACGGGAGGCAGCAGUGAGGAAUAUUGCACAAUGGAGGAAACUCUGAUGCAGCGACGCCGCGUGGAGGAUGACGCAUUUCGGUGUGUAAACUCCUUUUAUAUGUCAAGAAAAUGACGGUAGCAUAUGAAUAAGCACCGGCUAACUCCGUGCCAGCAGCCGCGGUAAUACGGAGGGUGCAAGCGUUACUCGGGAUCACUGGGCGUAAAGGACGCGUAGGCGGGUUGGAAAGUCAGGUGUGAAAUCCUACAGCUUAACUGUAGAACUGCACUUGAAACUUCUAAUCUAGAGUAUGGGAGGGGGAGAUGGAAUUAGUGGUGUAGGGGUAAAAUCCGUAGAUAUCACUAGGAAUACCUAAAGCGAAGGCGAUCUCCUGGAACAUUACUGACGCUAAGGCGUGAAAGCGUGGGGAGCAAACAGGAUUAGAUACCCUUGUAGUC